GCAUGUUCUGUAUGCAUUUUCGCGAAGUGUUCCUUAUGCAUUUUGUAUGUUCUGUACGCAUUUUCGCGAAGUGUUCCUUAUGCAUUUUUGCAAAAUGAUAAUACAAUCUGCGACACGAACAAAAAUGAUCAAAACCGUAAAUGAUGCUUUUCCCUUAAGAGUAAAUAUAUACAGAUAAGCCCAAUGUUAUAGAUAAAUUUACAAUCUAACUUAUCCACCCUGUCCGAAUAUGAACUUGACAUUGGUACUUCUUGAUGGUGACAAUGACACUCGAGUAGAAAAAUCAACCCUGAAUUUAUUUUUUACCCCGGACCGUACGGGACUUUUAUUGGGCCGCAUACCAACCACCACGAGGCCAGGAAUAGCGGCAAUUAAGCGUGUGUUCCUUUUUAUUACGUAACCCUUAACCUUGACAGACUCAGUUUAAGCAGUAAAAAACCCUUACCUUUAACUUCCAAUAGGUUCAAUAAAUACACAGAAAAUGCAUGCCCAGAUAGUGUCACACGAUGCAAUGCAAUGUAACGGGGACUCUGCGUCGCACGCAAUAAAACAAUAAAAAUAUGGAAGUAAACGUUCCUCGGAUUUAAAGGGUUUCUUGUCUUUUUUUAGUUGAAAGUAUUUUUUUAAAAGAAAAACAGUAAUAAAAUUGGAUCCAAUAUCAAAGUCAAUAUUAUUUCAGAAAACUACCUCUAUUUGAACUUGACACUUAUUCUGGCAACACAUCCGACCCACAGUUUGCUCAUGGUGGCCAAGUAGAACGGGUUAAUUUACCAGUGUGACAAGUUGAAUUUGCAAUUUUUGUGCUAUGUACAUUCCUCGUCUGGCUUGUUGUCUGUGCUAAAAACGUGGCGUGGCCAUUAAGUAAAUAUAAUACUAUCGAAUUGGCAUCUUUAAUCGUGCCGUUGACGAGGUGCUGCUGGUGUUAAUUGUGGUAAUGAGCGUAAUCGUUACUUAUACUCUUACACAUUGCAAUUUUGUGAGAACAUUUUGGAGACGGAUUUGUGAUCGAAAAAUUGAUUCAGUACGGCCCUGUUCUGUUCCUGCCCUAUGAUGAAUGGUUUGGUGAAAGUGGAGAAAGACGACGCACGGAUGGAUGGAAAACCUGAACAAAAUGUGUGUGGGUGGAUAUGAAAUGCCCCGUUUUGAAGAGACCACCAUUGGAUUUUAUGCCACCCAUAACGCUCUCCUCCCAAAUGGGACACAAGCUGCUUAUCAUCACUCCAUACUUUCCCUCAAAUCACGUAAAAACCGAGAAGAAUAAUGAUCCCACCACCAGCAGAGAAAACCCAGGAAAAAACCAUAAUAAUAACGCUACUGACGAAGCCAAACCAUGAGCCAUGAACCCUCGCUGCACUUCUCUCCUCCGAAAAAAACUUUUACGUCCAAAGAACAAGAAUGAAAUCAAAACGAAUCCGCUUCAAAGAUGGCAAUCAAAAAGAAUUUCGUAGAAUUCUGGAACAGCCUGCUGACUGACCUGCCUCAAAAAAUUGUCGUGAACGGAUGUAGCACCAGUUCGGAUUUGUAGAGCAGUAAGUGUGCAACUUUAAUAAACUUAGAAAUAUAUAAAUCCGUAAAAAAAGAGUUUAACUUUGUGUAAAUUAUUCAUUUAAUUAUUUUUGUGAGAGCGUAAUAAA